GAUGAACGCUGGCGGCGUGCCUAAUACAUGCAAGUCGAGCGAACAGACGAGGAGCUUGCUCCUCUGACGUUAGCGGCGGACGGGUGAGUAACACGUGGAUAACCUACCUAUAAGACUGGGAUAACUUCGGGAAACCGGAGCUAAUACCGGAUAAUAUAUUGAACCGCAUGGUUCAAUAGUGAAAGACGGUUUUGCUGUCACUUAUAGAUGGAUCCGCGCCGCAUUAGCUAGUUGGUAAGGUAACGGCUUACCAAGGCAACGAUGCGUAGCCGACCUGAGAGGGUGAUCGGCCACACCGGAACUGAGACACGGUCCAGACUCCUACGGGAGGCAGCCGUAGGGAAUCUUCCGCAAUGGGCGAAAGCCUGACGGAGCAACGCCGCGUUAGUGAUGAAGGUCUUCGGAUCGUAAAACUCUGUUAUUAGGGAAGAACAAAUGUGUAAGUAACUAUGCACGUCUUGACGGUACCUAAUCAGAAAGCCACGGCUAACUACGUG
rnacentral:rRNA from 1 species